AUUGAACGCUGGCGGCAUGCCUUACACAUGCAAGUCGAACGGUAACGCGGGGCAACCUGGCGACGAGUGGCGAACGGGUGAGUAAUGCAUCGGAACGUGCCCAGUAGUGGGGGAUAGCCCGGCGAAAGCCGGAUUAAUACCGCAUACGACCUACGGGUGAAAGGGGGGGAUCGCAAGACCUCUCGCUAUUGGAGCGGCCGAUGUCAGAUUAGGUAGUUGGUGGGGUAAAGGCCUACCAAGCCGACGAUCUGUAGCUGGUCUGAGAGGACGACCAGCCACACUGGGACUGAGACACGGCCCAGACUCCUACGGGAGGCAGCAGUGGGGAAUUUUGGACAAUGGGCGCAAGCCUGAUCCAGCCAUGCCGCGUGCGGGAAGAAGGCCUUCGGGUUGUAAACCGCUUUUGUCAGGGAAGAAAUCUUCCGAGUUAAUACCUCGGGAGGAUGACGGUACCUGAAGAAUAAGCACCGGCUAACUCCGUGCCAGCCGCCGCCGUAAGAC
rnacentral:rRNA from 1 species